UGAUGAACUCCCUAAUUGAUAAAUACUUCAAAGCACCAGGUAUUACUACUCUGACAUAGAACUAUUGCAGAUCCUGUAUGAUUUGUGCCAAAUGUAACCCCUGAAAGAUUAUUAAAGCUGCUCCUAAUCACCUGGCUAAACCACAGUAUCCCUUCCAGAGAAUACAGAUUGAUCAUAUACAGAUGCCGAAGAGUGGACGAUAUGAGUAUGCACUAGUCAUAGUGGACAU